GAUGAAGAACGUAGCGAAAUGCGAAAAGUAAUGUGAAUUGCAGAAUUCAGUGAACCAUCGAAUCUUUGAACGCACAUUGCGCCCGCUGGAACUCCGGCGGGCACGCCUGUCCGAGCGUCAUUUCAACCCUCAGGCCCCCCUUCGCGGGCGGGCCUGGUGUUGGGGCCCGGCCGCUACCCUGCGGCAGUCCCCUAAAUUCAGUGGCGGCCUCGCCGUGAUCCCUUGCGUAGUAAUGCACCUCGCACCGGAGAGCGCCGUGGCCACGCCGUAAAACCCCCAAUUUUCAAUGGUUGACCUCGGAUCAGGUGGGAAUACCCGCUGAACUUAAGCAUAUCAAUAGCGGAGGA
rnacentral:misc_RNA from 1 species